rnacentral:rRNA from 1 species
CACUAUGCUUAGCCCUAAACAAUGAUAAUACCCUACAAUUAUUAUCCGCCCGGGUACUACGAGCACCAGCUUAAAACCCAAAGGACUUGGCGGUGCUUUAGAUCCACCUAGAGGAGCCUGUUCUAGAACCGAUAAUCCCCGUUAAACCUCACCCCUCCUUGUUUUUCCCGCCUAUAUACCGCCGUCGUCAGCUUACCCUGUGAAGGCCCAAUAGUAAGCACAAUUGGCACAGCCCAAAACGCCAGGUCGAGGUGUAGCGUAUGGAGGGGGAAGAAAUGGGCUACAUUCAGUGAGUCACUGAACACGGAAGGCGGGCUGAAACGCCCGCCCGAAGGAGGAUUUAGCAGUAAGUGGGAAAUAGAGCGUCCCACUGAAACUGGCCCUGAAGCGCGUACACACCGCCCGUCACUCUCCCCGAAACAAAGCUAUACGCAUACAUAAAACCUAAUCAUCAAGAAGGGGAGGCAAGUCGUAA